AAGAUGAACGCUGGCGGUCUGCUUAACACAUGCAAGUCGAACGGGCGUAGCAAUACGUUAGUGGCGGACGGGUGAGUAACGCGUGAGAAUCUACCUUCAGGACGGAGACAACAGUUGGAAACGACUGCUAACCCCCGAUGUACUGAAAAGGCAAAUAUUUAUAGCCUGAAGAAGAGCUCGCGUCCGAUUAGCUAGUUGGAGAGGUAAAAGCUCACCAAGGCGACGAUCGGUAGCUGGUCUGAGAGGACGAUCAGCCACACUGGGACUGAGACACGGCCCAGACUCCUACGGGAGGCAGCAGUGGGAAUUUUCCGCAAUGGGCGAAAGCCUGACGGAGCAAGACCGCGUGGGGAAGAAGGCUCUUGGGUUGUAAACCCCUUUUCUCUGGGAAGAAGUUGUGAAAGCAGCCUGACGGUACCAGAGGAAUCAGCAUCGGCUAACUCCGUGCCAGCAGCCGC
rnacentral:rRNA from 1 species